rnacentral:rRNA from 1 species
AGGAGGUUUGAUCCUGGCUCAGAUUGAACGCUGGCGGUAUGCUUAACACAUGCAAGUCGAACGGUAACAGGCAGAGCUUGCUCUGUGCUGACGAGUGGCGGACGGGUGCGUAACGCGUGGGAAUCUACCUUAUAGUGGGGGAUAGCCCGGAGAAAUCCGGAUUAAUACCGCAUAAUCUCUACGGAGCAAAGUGGGGGAUCUUCGGACCUCACGCUAUUAGAUGAGCCCGCGUUAGAUUAGCUUGUUGGUGAGGUAAUGGCUCACCAAGGCGACGAUCUAUAGCUGGUUUGAGAGGAUGAUCAGCCACACUGGGACUGAGACACGGCCCAGACUCCUGCGGGAGGCAGCAGUGGGGAAUAUUGGACAAUGGGCGCAAGCCUGAUCCAGCAAUACCGCGUGUGUGAAGAAGGCCUGAGGGUUGUAAAGCACUUUCAAUAGGGACGAAAAGCUUAGGGUCAAUAACCCUGAGUCUUGACUUAACCUAUACAAGAAGCACCGGCUAACUCCGUGCCAGCAGCCGCGGUAAUACGGAGGGUGCAAGCGUUAAUCGGAAUUACUGGGCGUAAAGCGCUCGUAGGCGGUUUGUUAAGUCGGAUGUGAAAGCCCCGGGCUCAACCUGGGAACUGCAUUCGAUACUGGCAGACUAGAGUAUAGUAAAGGCAAGUGGAAUUCCGGGUGUAGCGGUGAAAUGCGUAAAUA